UGUCAAUUCAAGACUCAAAAACAUUGAACAAUGACAUAUUGAUAGUUACACGAGACUUACAGACGUUGGGCGUCACCUAAAUUCCUUAAGAAGAGACAUAAUAUUACAUUUUGACCAAGUCUCACCAAAGCAUCACAUUUGUAAUUUGGAAAACUAUCACCAAGGAGAAGGCAAGUAGUUUCCUGUUCUACUCAUUUUAUUAGAAAACUAUCAUUCAACCAAACAAAAAGGUCAAAGUCAUCAAAAAAGAACUUCACAGAAGAGGUCACCAUUCUAGUCUAUGGUUGGCUUCACAACCUUCCUAUGGCCCUACAAGAAGUUACACAUGUAUAGCUGCUCGACAAUAUGGGCAGUCCCCACAAGUUCGUACCCAUGGUUCCAAGCAACAAGGGUGAUAUCUGUGCCCACAAGGUAAACAUGCUAGCUUGUCUCCUUCCAAGAAAGCAUCCAGACAUAUGCUACAGUCGAUAACCGCCCGGGCCUCUUCCUUGUCUGAGUUACUGUAAACCCCAAUAUGCAAUAAAUCCAUGGCUUCUUGACUCAGGCCAGGGGGCCUCUUGUUUUCUCUUAACCAGAUAAGAUGAUCAGGGCUGGGGGUAGUUCCAGCUAACCACAAACUAGAAUCCGCUUCCCCAUCACUGGCAUCAGCAAGUCCAAAAUCAUCCUCAAAUGUAAAGUUGUUGCGAUGGGAGCUUGUUCGGAUCCCGUAACUUCGCCUAUUUCCAGAUAUAGAUACACCUCUCAAUCUCUGUAGAAGUCUUUCCCUUGCAAGUAGUACAGUACCAGGGAGCCGCUCGCUACCUGAGGUUCCCACCCUAUCUCGUAUCCUGUUAUUGUUGUUUGUUGCAUGAUUGGUGUCUCCUGAUGCAGCCUGGCUAUUCGCAGAGUCGAGCGAAACAGAAUCACGAUCAGGAGGCCAACGUCUAAGGCGGUGAGGAGGAGAUCGGCGCAAGGGCUCACAAUCGUUCACAUCGACGCGAUCACGGCGGGUAUUAUUGCCGGUUGGCUGGUGACUGUGAUGAUGAUGGCGGCGAUUACGAACGCUGUGGUUGUGAGAAUUUCGAAUUGUCGAUAAAUCCGACCCUAAUUCGAGAUCGCUUCGACCGUAACGAGACCUCCUAGUGAAAAAUAGCUCUGAAGCACUCGUCAUACAAUUACAAUAAGGUUUCUUCUAG
rnacentral:misc_RNA from 1 species